rnacentral:rRNA from 1 species
UGGGGGAUAUUGCACAAUGGGCGAAAGCCUGAUGCAGCGACGCCGCGUGGGGGAUGAAGGCCUUCGGGUUGUAAACUUCUUUUGCUCUGAACAAGGCGCACCAUGGGGUGUGUUGAGUGUAGGGGUUGAUUAGCGCCGGCUAACUACGUGCCAGCAGCCGCGGUAAUACGUAGGGCGCGAGCGUUGUCCGGAAUUAUUGGGCGUAAAGGGCUUGUAGGUGGCUGGUUGCGUCUGUCGUGAAAGCUCAUGGCUUAACUGUGGGUUUGCGGUGGGUACGGGCUGGGUGGAGUGCAGUAGGGGAGGCUGGAAUUCCUGGUGUAGCGGUGGAAUGCGCAGAUAUCAGGAGGAAUACCGGUGGCGAAGGCGGGUCUCUGGGCUGUUACUGACACUGAGGAGCGAAAGCAUGGGGAGCGAACAGG